rnacentral:lncRNA from 1 species
UUUAUUUCUCUUUCUGUGGAUUUUCCGGACCAUGAAUAACUUUGAUUUCAGAUUAUAUGAAUGACAGAAGGCACUUCAACUUCUUGCAGGGGUGGAUGCAGUUCCUACUGUUGUGUCUC